rnacentral:lncRNA from 1 species
CAGAAUUCCACCUUGACUGUACUUGAGAUGGUUACGGACUGAAGCUAGCCAGCCUAGAGUGGUGCCUGAUGAAACCUCUUCAUGAAGCAAUACAUUUAGCUACUACACUGCUGCCACUUGAGCACAUCAAUCACCGUGGUACUUAGGCACCAAAUACCAGUAUGUAAAGAUUCAGCCUUCCCUGCUCCUUCCCUACAGAAGUUGCAUUUCAC